CUUGCUUCUCUUGAGAGCGGCGGACGGGUGAGUAAUGCCUAGGAAUCUGCCUGGUAGUGGGGGAUAACGUCCGGAAACGGACGCUAAUACCGCAUACGUCCUACGGGAGAAAGCAGGGGACCUUCGGGCCUUGCGCUAUCAGAUGAGCCUAGGUCGGAUUAGCUAGUUGGUGGGGUAAUGGCUCACCAAGGCGACGAUCCGUAACUGGUCUGAGAGGAUGAUCAGUCACACUGGAACUGAGACACGGUCCAGACUCCUACGGGAGGCAGCAGUGGGGAAUAUUGGACAAUGGGCGAAAGCCUGAUCCAGCCAUGCCGCGUGUGUGAAGAAGGUCUUCGGAUUGUAAAGCACUUUAAGUUGGGAGGAAGGGCAGUAAAUUAAUACUUUGCUGUUUUGACGUUACCGACAGAAUAAGCACCGGCUAACUCUGUGCCAGCAGCCGCGGUAAUACAGAGGGUGCAAGCGUUAAUCGGAAUUACUGGGCGUAAAGCGCGCGUAGGUGGUUCGUUAAGUUGGAUGUGAAAUCCCCGGGCUCAACCUGGGAACUGCAUUCAAAACUGACGAGCUAGAGUAUGGUAGAGGGUGGUGGAAUUUCCUGUGUAGCGGUGAAAUGCGUAGAUAUAGGAAGGAACACCAGUGGCGAAGCGACCACCUGGACUGAUACUGACACUGAGGUGCGAAAGCGUGGGGAGCAAACAGGA
rnacentral:rRNA from 1 species